GACGAACGCUGGCGGCGUGCUUAACACAUGCGAGUCGAACGGAAAGGCCCUGCUUUUGGGGGGUGCUCGUGUGGCGCACGGGUGUGUAACACGUGUGUAACCUGCCCUUGUCUGUGUGAUAUCUUCAGGACACUGGGGAUAAUACCGGAGAGGACCUCCUGCUCCAUGGUGGGGGGUGGAAAGUUUCGGCGGUUGUGGAUGGUCUCGCGGCUUAUCAGUUUGUUGGUGGGGUUUUGGCUGACCAAGGUUUUGAGGGGUAGCCGGCCUGGGAGGGUGACCGGCAACCUUGGUCCUGAGAUAGGCCCCAGACUCCACCGGGAGGCAGCGGUGGGGAAUAUUGCACAAUGGGCGGACGCCUGUUGCGGCAACGCGGCGUGCGGAAUACCGGCCUUCGGGUUGAAAACCGAUUUGGACAGUAACGAGGCGUGUGUGACGGUAAUGGGUAAAGAAGCACCGGCUAACUACGUG
rnacentral:rRNA from 1 species